rnacentral:rRNA from 1 species
AUUGAACGCUGGCGGCAGGCCUAACACAUGCAAGUCGAACGGCAGCACAGAAGAGCUUGCUCUUUGGGUGGCGAGUGGCGGACGGGUGAGUAAUGUCUGGGAAACUGCCCGAUGGAGGGGGAUAACUACUGGAAACGGUAGCUAAUACCGCAUAACGUCGCAGACCAAAGUGGGGGACCUUCGGGCCUCACACCAUCGGAUGUGCCCAGAUGGGAUUAGCUAGUAGGUGGGGUAAUGGCUCACCUAGGCGACGAUCCCUAGCUGGUCUGAGAGGAUGACCAGCCACACUGGAACUGAGACACGGUCCAGACUCCUGCGGGAGGCAGCAGUGGGGAAUAUUGCACAAUGGGCGCAAGCCUGAUGCAGCCAUGCCGCGUGUAUGAAGAAGGCCUUCGGGUUGUAAAGUACUUUCAGCGGGGAGGAAGGCGGUGAGGUUAAUAACCUCGCCGAUUGACGUUACCCGCAGAAGAAGCACCGGCUAACUCCGUGCCAGCCGCCGCCGUAA